rnacentral:rRNA from 1 species
UACAGAAGCCUCGAGCGUUGUUCGGAAUUACUGGGCGUAAAGGGCGCGUAGGCGGGAUGGCAAGUCGGUCGUGAAAUCCUUCGGCUCAACCGAAGAACGUCGAUCGAUACUGCUGUUCUUGAGGGUUGCAGAGGAGACUGGAAUUUCCGGUGUAGCGGUGAAAUGCGUAGAGAUCGGAAGGAACACCAGUGGCGAAGGCGGCUGUCUGGACAGAUACUGACGCUGAGGCGCGAAAGCGUGGGGAGCAAACAGG